UUUACACAGUUAAACAUUUCCAGGUAAUAUAUAGAGGAGUUGAUCGCUGUUUUACUGCGCAAGCUCUUCAGCCAACUAAAGUUUAUAGCUUUACAGUUUCAGCUUGGAUGAGUGAGGGUAGAUGCGAAAGUUUACCCAGAACACGUCGAAUCAGCAAGCAAUAUGCAAAUAAAGGGGUCGUUGAUUUUCCAGAUAAUAUUGGACAGAUGUUGUAAGAGUAAAAAGAAAAUACAGAUGAUCUUGGACGAAAUUGCACAGAUGAUCUUGGACUAGUCCACAGAUGUUUUGGACAGAUGUAGUAAUCUUUUACCCAAAUUUCCAGAGUUCU
rnacentral:lncRNA from 1 species